CCUACGGUAGGCAGCAGCGAGGAAUAUUGGUCAAUGGACGAGAGUCUGAACCAGCCAAGUAGCGUGAAGGAUGACUGCCCUAUGGGUUGUAAACUUCUUUUAUAAAGGAAUAAAACGAGGCACGUGUGCCUUUUUGCAUGUACUUUAUGAAUAAGGAUCGGCUAACUCCGUGCCAGCAGCCGCGGUAAUACGGAGGAUCCGAGCGUUAUCCGGAUUUAUUGGGUUUAAAGGGAGCGUAGAUGGGUUGUUAAGUCAGUUGUGAAAGUUUGCGGCUCAACCGUAAAAUUGCAAUUGAUAAUGGCAGUCUUGAGUACAGUUGAGGUAGGCGGAAUUCGUGGUGUAGCGGUGAAAUGCUUAGAUAUCACGAAGAACUCCGAUUGCGAAGGCAGCUUACUAAACUGUGACUGACAUUGAUGCUCGAAAGUGUGGGUAUCAAACAGGAUUAGAUACCCCUGUAGUC
rnacentral:rRNA from 1 species